AACUCUCAAACCGUCAUCUUUUAUCGGAUGUUCGGGCUUGGAUUUGGAUGUUGCUGGGUCUUAACGACUCGGCUCGUCUUAAAAGCAUUAGCUGUCUCUCACGACUUCAGUUAACGGUGUGAUAAUUACAUCUACGCCGAAGCCUUCGGGCGCUGAGUCGGGUUAAAGCGGCUUCUAACCGUCUUCGGACAAUUUCAUUUCAC
rnacentral:misc_RNA from 1 species